rnacentral:rRNA from 1 species
CCCUUAGAUGUUCUGGGCUGCACGCGCGCUACACUGAAGCUAUCAACACGUUUUCCCUCCCUGAGAAGGGCGGGUAACCUUUUGAAUCAGCUUCGUGGUAGGGAUCGGGGCUUGCAAUUGUUCCCCGUGAACCAGGAAUUCCUAGUAGACGCGAGUCAUAAGCUCGCAUCGAUUAAGUCCCUGCCCUUUGUACACACCGCCCGUCGCUACUACCGAUUGAACGUUUUAGUGAGGCAUUUGGACCGACGCAUCUCAGUUUAGCCGCUGGUUUGUGUUGGAAAGACUUCCAAACUUGAGCGUUUAGAGGAAGUAAAAGUCGUAACA